rnacentral:tRNA from 1 species
CAAGUUAUGGCUUAAUUGGUUAGGCUUAUUAUUUACACUAAUAUAUUUAAUUGUGCGAUUCAAUUUAAUUUGA